rnacentral:rRNA from 1 species
AGUGAACGCUGGCGGUAGGCCUAACACAUGCAAGUCGAACGGCAGCACAGUAAGAGCUUGCUCUUACGGGUGGCGAGUGGCGGACGGGUGAGGAAUACAUCGGAAUCUACUUUUUCGUGGGGGAUAACGUAGGGAAACUUACGCUAAUACCGCAUACGACCUACGGGUGAAAGCAGGGGAUCUUCGGACCUUGCGCGAUUGAAUGAGCCGAUGUCGGAUUAGCUAGUUGGCGGGGUAAAGGCCACCAAGGCGACGAUCCGUAGCUGGUCUGAGAGGAUGAUCAGCCACACUGGAACUGAGACACGGUCCAGACUCCUACGGGAGGCAGCAGUGGGGAAUAUUGGACAAUGGGCGCAAGCCUGAUCCAGCCAUAUCGCGUGGGUGAAGAAGGCCUUCGGGUUGUAAAGCCCUUUUGUUGGGAAAGAAAAGCAGCAGGUUAAUACCCCGCUGUUCUGACGGUACCCAAAGAAUAAGCACCGGCUAACUUCGUG